rnacentral:rRNA from 1 species
AAGCGGAGGAAAAGAAACCAACAGGGAUUGCCCCAGUAGCGGCGAGCGAAGCGGCAAGAGCUCAGAUUUGAAAUCUGGCCGCCCCCGGGCGGUCCGAGUUGUAAUCUGCAGGGGAGCCUUCGGGCUGCCGCGGCCUGCCUAAGUCCCCUGGAACGGGGCGCCAUGGAGGGUGAGAGCCCCGUGUGGUAGGCCGCAGCGGUCCUUGUGAUGCUCCUCCGACGAGUCNAGUAGUUUGGGAAUGCUGCUCUAAACGGGAGGUAUAUUCCUUCUAAAGCUAAAUACCGGCCGGAGACCGAUAGCGCACAAGUAGAGUGAUCGAAAGGUGAAAAGCACUUUGGAAAGAGAGUGAAAUAGUACGUGAAAUUGUUGCAGGGGAAGCGCUCUUGACCAGUCGCGCGCCGGGGGCCCAGCCGUCGUUCACUCGGCGGCGCGCGCCCCCUGGUUGCGGGUCAGCACCGGCUCCCGCGGCGGGAGAGGCUCCCUGGGAACGUGGCCCCGCCUCCGGGCGGGGUGUUAUAGCCCAGGGUGCGUACCGCCUGCGGGGGCCGAGGAAUCCCGCGCCCUCGUGGCCAGGGUGCUGGCAUAAUGGUCAUCAGCGUCCCGUCUUGA